UACGGGGGGGGGCAAGCGUUUGUUCGGAAUUACUGGGCGUAAAGGGCUCGUUAGGCGGCCAACUAAGUCAGACGUGAAAUCCCUCGGCUUAACGGGGAACUGCGUCUGAUACUGGUUGGCUUUGAGUGUGGGAGAGGGAUGCGGAAUCCAGGUGUAGCGGUGAAAUGCGUAGAUAUCUGGAGGAACACCAAUGGCGAAGGCAGGUCUCUGGGC
rnacentral:rRNA from 1 species